UACGUAGGGUGCAAGCGUUGCCCGGAUUUAUUGGGCGUAAAGGGCGCGUAGGCGGCUCGGCACGUCCGUUGUCGAAAUCGCCCGGCUCAACUGGGCGGGUCAGCGGAUACGGUCGAGCUUGAGCAGCUAGGGGCAAGUGGAAUUCCGGUGUAGUGGUGGAAUGCGUAGAUAUCGGGAGGAACACCAGUGGCGAAGGCGGCUCACUGGCCCGGUACUGACACUGAGGUGCGGAAAAGCGUGGGGGAGCAAACAGGG
rnacentral:rRNA from 1 species